UGGGGAAUAUUGCACAAUGGGCGCAAGCCUGAUGCAGCCAUGCCGCGUGUAUGAAGAAGGCCUUCGGGUUGUAAAGUACUUUCAGCGAGGAGGAAGGCGUUAAGGUUAAUAACCUUAGCGAUUGACGUUACUCGCAGAAAAAGCACCGGCUAACUCCGUGCCAGCAGCCGCGGUAAUACGGAGGGUGCAAGCGUUAAUCGGAAUUACUGGGCGUAAAGCGCACGCAGGCGGUCUGUCAAGCCGGAUGUGAAAUCCCCGGGCUCAACCUGGGAACUGCAUUCGAAACUGGCAGGCUAUAGUCUUGUAAAGGG
rnacentral:rRNA from 1 species